rnacentral:lncRNA from 1 species
CUAGAAUGGGGGUGCUUCUUAAAGGGAGAGAGAGAGAGGGACAGUUGUCGUCUUUCGUUCUUCCCCCUUGACCCGAAUGGAUAUCUGAAGCUCUACGACGCAAAUCUAGUUUCUCGGACACGUACGUACGAACGUGAGGUCAACGGCGUUAAAGAAGCGUGGAGGAAACGUCUCAAUGAGGUUCAACUUUAUCGCUUGCUGACCGAGUGCGGCGGGCUGUUUGUGCAUCGUGUCUUCGCGAACAAAAGUUCAGAAUCCUGGCGAUAGGUCGAGAUCAGAAACUUCGCCGAUCCUGGAGCCGAUCGACUGCUCAGGGGUGAAGAAAUGUUUCAGUGCUAACUAAUAUGGGUUCACUUUGGAUUUAGGACUUUUGGGGCUUGAAGGAGUCAGGGGUUGCCUGAGAUUGGAGACCCAAGAUAUCUGAGAGCAUGCGUGUUUUGUUCUUAACUGUUGAUCGUGGAGGUGGGGAGAAUUAGAACUUUUACUUUAUGAGUUAAGCUUUCCAAUUGUCUCCUUUCGCUUAACUUGGGUGCAUUCAAAUAUUUGACCUCGAAGCAAUUACUAGAUCUCGUUUUUCUAGGAAUAAAAGUGAACAGAGUAAGUAAUGAAAUCCUAAUGGAGUUCACAGUCUAGUUGAGUUUAUAAUCGCUCGUAAUCUUUAGUAGACUUUAGUGUGUUUGAGACAGGAUCUUGAUGUUGACUUUAAACUCUGACGAUACUCAUGCCCCAGUCUUCUGAAUGAUGGGAUUACAGGUGUGAACCACUAAGCCCAGAUAAUUUUUUCAUAUAUUUUUUUUUUGGUUCUUUUUUUUUUUUUUUUCGGAGCUGGGGACCGAACCUAGGGCCUUGCGCUUGCUAGGCAAGCGCUCUACCACUGAGCUAAAUCCCCAACCCCUUUUUCAUAUUUUAUAUGAAAAAAUAACUGCAGAAAUAUUUAAGUACUUUAGGAACUCCGAGAGUGUAUGACAAGAAAUCUAAUUCUGAAAUGAGGCAUGGAGAAUGAGUAAUUUUGUCAGAGGGAGUCUAACAUAUUUGAGGAGAUACUAAAAAGGCAGAAUGCUGCAACAGCAGGGGAAGAAGACAUUGGGGCCAAGCCUACCAUUUGAAAGGCAGUGGAUUCAUCUGCAGGAUUCAUCAUAGCAGGAAGAACCAGAGGACACACAGGUCCAGGGCCCAGAACCCUCCUUGACCUUAUUCCAUGUAUCAUCAAGCUGUUAUUCUGUAUCUUUUGUAAUAGCCUUUGGAAAGGAUAAAUUGUUGCCUUGAAUUCUGUGAGCCACUCUAGCAAGAUAUCAAACCCAGCCAGACCUGUCAGGUGCAUAGGUCUUAACCUGGAACUCUUAAUGGGCAUCCAAAGCUGGGGUAGACUAGAGACCGCCCUCUACUUGUGGGAUCUAGUGUUAACCCCAGGUAGUGUUCGAACUGACCUGAACACCCAGCUGGUGCUUAAUAUGGAAAAAACUUAGGCCUUUGGCCACAGAGGUUGAAUGUAAACAGUAGAAUGGAAAGUGUCUUUCCUGGGUAUUAAGGAUGCUGGAAAACACUGUACCACCUAAAUGCUCUGUAUCUGCAACCCUUUCCUAAGUUGUCUUUAAGUGAUACAUUGUUGUUGCCACGCUGUUGUUUUUCUGCCCCAGUGUCCCACAAUAGAUUUUUGUAUAGUGGUAGAACAUUCGCCUGGCAUAGUAACAAAGCUCUGAAUUUCUACUAUCACUGGGAGUGAAAAGCCUGUCUGUGGUGCCUGCUUGUAGUUCUAGCUACACCUAGAGUAGUCUGUAGCUACUUACACCCACUCUACAGAGAUUGAGAUGGUCAGUUCAGUUCAGGAAUUGGAGAGAAGCUCAGGAAACAUAGACUACCAUCUCAAACAAAUAAAUUGGACCUGGGUAGCAGGGGAAGGCCUAAAAUCCCUAUUCUUAAAAAAUCGAGGCAGGAGGAUCUUGAGUUCAAGGGCUGUCCAAGCUACUGAAUAAAUUUAAGGGCAGCCUAGGCUAUGUGACCCUGUCUCAAAUGAAUAAUUUUUAAAAAUGGAGUGGGGUUGGAGGUAUUGGGGCUGGUUGUGGUGUUGAACACCUUUAAUUCCAGCACUUUGGAGGCAGAGGCAGGCAGGUCUCUUGAGUUCAAUGACAGCCUGCUUUAGCGAUACUAGGACAGAGGGCUAUACAGAGAAACGUGUGUGUGUGUUUGUGUGUGUGUGUGUGUGUUGUGGACGACACGAGGGUCGGGGUGGGGUGAUCUGACAGAUGGUUCAGCAGCUAAGAAUAUUUAUAUUGGCUGCUCAAGAAGAAUGUGGGUUUGAUCCCAGCAUCCAAAUAAUGGCUUUAUUCCAGUUCCAGGGCACAUGUGCACAUAUAUACAUGCAGGCGGACACAUACACAUAAAAAAAUUAAAACCAUUAUGUUUAAAAAUGACAAACAAUGAAAAGGCUGGGGCCCUAGUUGAGUGACCGUGUGUAUGCUAAUUGUGUGUAAAGCCAUUCCUCAACACCCAGAAAAAGUAUUAGUAUCUGGUUUUACAUUCAGUGCCUGGUUAUUUCUGCUUUAAGAAUUUAAGACAUUAUUUUAGGACUCAUGUGCUCUGAUCAAAGGGAUUGCUUUUACUGUUUUCAAGACAGGGUCUAACUGCACUCCAACCUGGCUCCAAACUUAGGGAGUCCCUCAGCCUCCUAGAUGUUGGGAUUACAGGUGUGAGCCACAUACUUGAUGGAAGUCUUAAUAUGAAUUAUAUAUGAAAAUGAAUCAAUGUUAAAUCUUCUGAUUUUGAUAAUUAUGGGGAUCAUAUACAAUGCAUGCUGAAAUACUUUAAUGGUUAAGCAUGAAUAUGAAAUGUGGAAGGUAAAUGUUAAUUCAAUCUGUAUGUAAAGUGUUCACUAUACUAUUAAUGCGGUUUUUGUUGUGUUCCAGCUUCUCUAAGACUUAGAUUUGAAGGUUUUAAAGUUGAAGGAAUAUUAAUCCACUCAUGAAAAUAGCAUAAUAGAGAAACCUAGAAAGUAAGAAAGCUGUGGCUUUAAUAAAUCUUUGAGGUAGGGCCUACAGGAAGUUGCUUAUAGAUGUGAGGGUUGUACCCGUCUGAAUGGAUUGAUGCUAAUAAAAGAGCUUGACGCUGCAAGCUCAACCAC